rnacentral:rRNA from 1 species
UNUGACUUGAGUGCAGAAGGGGAGAGUGGAAUUCCAUGUGUAGCGGUGAAAUGCGUAGAUAUAUGGAGGAACACCAGUGGCGAAAGCGGCUCUCUGGUCUGUCACUGACGCUGAGGCUCGAAAGCGUGGGUAGCGAACAGGAUUAGAUACCCUGGUAGUCCACGCCGUAAACGAUGAGUGCUAGGUGUUAGGCCCUUUCCGGGGCUUAGUGCCGGAGCUAACGCAAUAAGCACUCCGCCUGGGGAGUACGACCGCAAGGUUGAAACUCAAAGGAAUUGACGGGGGCCCGCACAAGCGGUGGAGCAUGUGGUUUAAUUCGAAGCAGCGCGAAGAACCUUACCAGGUCUUGACAUCCCGAUGCUAUUCUUAGAGAUAGGAAGUUACUUCGGUACAUCGGAGACAGGUGGUGCAUGGUUGUCGUCAGCUCGUGUCGUGAGAUGUUGGGUUAAGUCCCGCAACGAGCGCAACCCUUAUUGUUAGUUGCCAUCAUUAAGUUGGGCACUCUAGCGAGACUGCCGGUAAUAAACCGGAGGAAGGUGGGGAUGACGUCAAAUCAUCAUGCCCCUUAUGACCUGGGCUACACACGUGCUACAAUGGUCGGUACAACGAGUUGCGAGCCGGUGACGGCAAGCUAAUCUCUGAAAGCCGAUCUCAGUUCGGAUUGGAGGCUGCAACUCGCCUCCAUGAAGUCGGAAUCGCUAGUAAUCGCGGAUCAGCACGCCGCGGUGAAUACGUUCCCGGGCCUUGUACACACCGCCCGUCACACCACGAGAGUUUGUAACACCCGAAGUCGGUGAGGUANCCUUUUAGGG